rnacentral:rRNA from 1 species
GGCAGGCCUAACACAUGCAAGUCGAACGGUAACAGGAAGCAGCUUGCUGCUUUGCUGACGAGUGGCGGACGGGUGAGUAAUGUCUGGGAAACUGCCUGAUGGAGGGGGAUAACUACUGGAAACGGUAGCUAAUACCGCAUAACGUCGCAAGACCAAAGAGGGGGACCUUCGGGCCUCUUGCCAUCGGAUGUGCCCAGAUGGGAUUAGCUAGUAGGUGGGGUAACGGCUCACCUAGGCGACGAUCCCUAGCUGGUCUGAGAGGAUGACCAGCCACACUGGAACUGAGACACGGUCCAGACUCCUACGGGAGGCAGCAGUGGGGAAUAUUGCACAAUGGGCGCAAGCCUGAUGCAGCCAUGCCGCGUGUAUGAAGAAGGCCUUCGGGUUGUAAAGUACUUUCAGCGGGGAGGAAGGGAGUAAAGUUAAUA